UUCACCGCUCACACCUCUAUAGUCAUAGCCCAAGUGUGACGUCUUUUUCGCGUCAGCUCAAACAUUGACGAUGAAAAUAUGGAAGCAAACAGUUCAGCGAACGCUGGAGCAAGCGGAACACCUAAUGUCGCCUCCUGCAACUCUCCUGCAAGUUUGGAAAACCUCGAGCAAGAAGCGUGAAGGAGAUCUAGAAGCAUUUCUUGCCCAGUUCCCGUUGAAAAACAAGAGAACUGGUAAUCGAUGUUGCACAGUGGAACUCCGUAGCCUGUUCGACAGAACGGCUGAAGAAAUGGAGGGUGCUUCCGAACAAUAAUUGUUCACUGUACGUCGUAAAGAAAAAAUAUCUACAAAGGAAGUGCCAGUUUUAACACUCCUCUUAUAAAACCGCAGCAAACGACAGUUAUAUAAUGAGUCCACUUUUAAAACUUCAAAUUUCGAAAACAAGUGAUCCGCAUGAUCUGCGAAAUUAAGGUCUUCAAUAAUACGUAGGGUCCUUUUUUGAAUUUGGUCGAGUUUACAUAGAUUCGUUUUCGAAGUGGUG